AAAGGGUAACGGAGGCGCGCGAAGGUCACCUUAGGGCGGUUGGGAAUCGCCCGUCAAGUGUAAAGGCACAAGGUGGCUUGACUGCGAGGCGUACAUGCCGAGCAGGUACGAAAGUAGGUCUUAGUGAUCUGGCGGUAGCGAGUGGAAGCGCCGUCACUUAACGGAUAAAAGGUACUCCGGGGAUAACAGGCUGAUCUUGCCCAAGAGUUCACAUCGACGGCAAGGUUUGGCACCUCGAUGUCGGCUCAUCGCAUCCUGGGGCUGGAGCAGGUCCCAAGGGUUUGGCUGUUCGCCAAUCAAAGCGGUACGCGAGCUGGGUUCAGAACGUCGUGAGACAGUUCGGUCCCUAUCUGCUGCAUUCGUCGGUUGCUUGAGGGGUCCUGCUUUUAGUACGAGAGGACCGAAGUGGACGCACCUCUGGUGUACCGGCUGUCGCGCCAGCGGCACUGCCGGGUAGCCACGUGCGGAAGGGAUAACCGCUGAAAGCAUCUAAGCGGGAAGCCCUCCCCAAGAUUGGGCAACCCAUGGCGCUAGACGCCACUGAAGGAGCCAGGAAGACUACCUGGUCGAUAGGGCGGCGGUGCAAGCACGGCAACGUGUUCAGCCGACCGCUACUAAUAUGCCGUGAGGCUUGGCCAU
rnacentral:rRNA from 1 species